ACCCAUUCUAUGAGCUCAGAAAAAUGAUGUCAUCUCUUGUAUCCAUUUUAUUAUCUCCCAAUUUCUAUUCUCAUUCUUUCAUAUCCAGAGGUACAUGUCAUCUGAAGCCUUGGGCCCUCCGCAUCAUAAAUCAGGAACAAAUCCAGGAGGGAGAAAGAGCAAAGGAGACAAGGACCUCGUUAAGAACACUAAGUUUCUGUAACAAAAAUGGAGUCCUUUUCUACAUUAUUUUUUGUAACUGGCUCUUUUUCCUUUUUACUGCCUCUUGGAACACUUGGAACACUUUGUAUGAGUUACUCUCUGGAACAAAAGUACUUUUCCCUUUUAUUUUUUUAAAGUGCUGUAAUUGCUAACAUCAUGGGUCUGCCUCAGGAUGGUGAUUAAAAACACUCAUCUGACUUGGUCGGAACAGAAUCUCCAAUAGCUACUUGAUUUGUUUAGCUACAGCUGAAAUAUUUUGAUAAGGAAAAAUGGGAAACAGCUCUACAAAUAAACAAAGGUAUGUUCACGAGGGAAUCA
rnacentral:lncRNA from 12 species